CUGCCCGNGACGUUGUUUAACGGCCGCGGUAUUUUGACCGUGCGAAGGUAGCAUAAUCAUUUGUUUUUUAAAUGAAGACUGGAAUGAAUGGCAAGACGGAGAUUUAACUGUCUCUUUUUUUAGUAUCUUGAAAUUAAUUUUCUUGUGAAGAAGCAGGAAUAAAAUCGUAAGACGAGAAGACCCUAUUGAGCUUAAAUAUAUUUAUUAAAUAAUAAAAAAUUAAUUUUUACUAAUGAAAUAAAAAAAUAGAAAUUUAUAAAAAGUAAUUUAAUUAAUAAUAAAAUUAUUUUGAUUGGGGCAAUCAUGGAGAAAAAAAAUCCUCCAUUAUAAUUUAGAAAAUUAAUUUUUUAAAAUAUAAAUGUUAUAAUUUUUAAAUGAUCCACUUUUUGAGUGAUCAAAGGAACAAGUUACCAUAGGGAUAACAGCGUAAUUUUUUUGGAGAGUUCAUAUUGAUAAAAAAGUUUGCGACCUCGAUGUUGGAUCGGGA
rnacentral:rRNA from 1 species